rnacentral:rRNA from 1 species
GUAGGGAAUAUUGGGCAAUGGAGGCAACUCUGACCCAGCCAUGCCGCGUGCAGGAUGACGGCCCUCUGGGUUGUAAACUGCUUUUAUACGGGAAGAAAAAAUACUACGUGUAGUAUACUGACGGUACCGUAAGAAUAAGGAUCGGCUAACUCCGUGCCAGCAGCCGCGGUAAUACGGAGGAUCCAAGCGUUGUCCGGAUUUAUUGGGUUUAAAGGGUGCGUAGGCGGAUCUUUAAGUCAGUGGUGAAAGCCUGCAGCUUAACUGUAGAAUUGCCAUUGAAACUGAAGCUCUUGAAUGUGGUUAAAGUAGGCGGAAUGUAUCAUGUAGCGGUGAAAUGCUUAGGUAUGAUACAGAAAACCGAUAGCGAAGGCAGCUUGCUGAACCAUUAUUCACGCUGAGGCACGAAAGCGUGGGGAGCGAACAGGAUUAGAAACCCGGGUAGUCC